rnacentral:rRNA from 1 species
GACGAACGCUGGCGGCGUGCUUAACACAUGCAAGUCGAACGCUCCGCAAGGGGAGUGGCGCACGGGUGAGUAACACGUGGGAACCUACCUUCUGGUACGGAACAACCAAGGGAAACUUUGGCUAAGACCGUAUACGACCUCCGGGUGAAAGAUUGAUCGCCGGAAGAGGGGCCCGCGUCCGAUUAGGUAGUUGGUGAGGUAACGGCUCACCAAGCCUUCGAUCGGUAGCUGGUCUGAGAGGAUGACCAGCCACACUGGGACUGAGACACGGCCCAGACUCCUACGGGAGGCAGCAGUGGGGAAUAUUGGACAAUGGGCGCAAGCCUGAUCCAGCCAUGCCGCGUGAGUGAUGAAGGCC